rnacentral:rRNA from 1 species
AGGAUUCCCCUAGUAACUGCGAGUGAAGCGGGAAGAGCUCAAAUUUAAAAUCUGGCGUGCCUUUGGUCGUCCGAGUUGUAGUCUGGAGAAGCGUUUUCCGUGUUGGACCGUGUAUAAGUCUCUUGGAACAGGGCGUCAUAGAGGGUGAGAAUCCCGUCUUUGACACGGACUACCAAUGCUUUGUGAUGCGCUCUCAAAGAGUCGAGUUGUUUGGGGAUGCAGCUCAAAAUGGGUGGUAAAUUCCAUCUAAAGCUAAAUAUAGGCGAGAGACCGAUAGCGAACAAGUACCGUGAGGGAAAGAUGAAAAGCACUUUGGAAAGAGAGUUAAACAGUACGUGAAAUUGCUGAAAGGGAAACGCUUGAAGUCAGUCGCGUCUGCCAGGACUCAGCCUUGCUUUUGCUUGGUGCACUUUCUGGUUGGAUGGGCCAACAUCAAUUUUGACCGUUGGAGAAAGGCUUUGGGAAUGUGGCACCUUCGGGUGUGUUAUAGCCCUCGGUCGUAUACGACGGUUGGGAUUGAGGAUCGCAGCACGCCUUUAUGGCCGGGGUUCGCCCACGUACGUGCUUAGGAUGUUGGCAUAAUGGCUUUAAGCGACCC